rnacentral:rRNA from 1 species
AGAGUUUGAUCAUGGCUCAGAUUGAACGCUGGCGGCAUGCUUUACACAUGCAAGUCGAACGCGAAAGUGGGGGCAACCCUGCGAGUAGAGUGGCGAACGGGUGAGUAAUACAUCGGAACGUGCCCAGGAGUGGGGGACAACCUCGAGAAAUCGAGGCUAAUACCGCAUACGUCCUGAGGGAGAAAGCGGGGGACCGCAAGGCCUCGCGCUCAUGGAGCGGCCGAUGUCGGAUUAGCUAGUUGGUGGGGUAAAGGCCUACCAAGGCGACGAUCCGUAGCUGGUCUGAGAGGAUGAUCAGCCACACUGGGACUGAGACACGGCCCAGACUCCUACGGGGGGCAGCAGUGGGGAAUUUUGGACAAUGGGGGCAACCCUGGUCCAGCCAUGCCGCGUGAGUGAAGAAGGCCUUCGGGUUGUAAAGCUCUUUCGGCCGGAACGAAAUCGGGUGCGUGAAUAACGCACCUGGAUGACGGUACCGGAAGAAGAAGCACCGGCUAACUACGUGCCAGCAGCCGCGGUAAUA